rnacentral:rRNA from 1 species
GUGGAUUAGAUACCCGGGUAGUCCAUGCCGUAAACGUUGGGCGCUAGGUGUGGGGCUCAUUCCACGAGUUCCGUGCCGCAGCUAACGCAUUAAGCGCCCCGCCUGGGGAGUACGGCCGCAAGGCUAAAACUCAAGGGAAUUGACGGGGGCCCGCACAAGCGGCGGAGCAUGCGGAUUAAUUCGAUGCAACGCGAAGAACCUUACCAAGGCUUGACAUACACCGGAAACAUGCAGAGAUGUGUGCCCCGCAAGGCUGGUGGACAGGUGGUGCACGGUCGUCGACAGCU